UACGUGGGGUGCAAGCGUUGUUCGGAAUUACUGGGCGUAAAGCGUGUGUAGGCGGCUCGUUAAGUCUGAUGUGAAAUCCCUGGGCUUAACUCAGGAACUGCAUCGGAAACUGGCGAGCUCGAGUCCGGGAGAGGGUAGUGGAAUUCCUGGUGUAGAGGUGAAAUUCGUAGAUAUCAGGAGGAACACCGGUGGCGAAGGCGGCUACCUGGACCGGUACUGACGCUGAGACACGAAAGCGUGGGGAGCAAACAGG
rnacentral:rRNA from 1 species